rnacentral:rRNA from 1 species
UACACUCCUGCGGGAGGCAGCAGUGGGGAAUUUUGGACAAUGGGCGAAAGCCUGAUCCAGCCAUGCCGCGUGCAGGAUGAAGGCCUUCGGGUUGUAAACUGCUUUUGUACGGAACGAAACGGCCUUUUCUAAUAAAGAGGGCUAAUGACGGUACCGUAAGAAUAAGCACCGGCUAACUACGUGCCAGCAGCCGCGGUAAUACGUAGGGUGCAAGCGUUAAUCGGAAUUACUGGGCGUAAAGCGUGCGCAGGCGGUUAUGUAAGACAGUUGUGAAAUCCCCGGGCUCAACCUGGGAACUGCAUCUGUGACUGCAUAGCUAGAGUACGGUAGAGGGGGAUGGAAUUCCGCGUGUAGCAGUGAAAUGCGUAGAUAUGCGGAGGAACACCGAUGGCGAAGGCAAUCCCCUGGACCUGUACUGACGCUCAUGCACGAAAGCGUGGGGAGCAAACAGGAUUAGAAACCCUGGUAGUCCCAU